GACGAACGCUGGCGGCGUGCCUAAUACAUGCAAGUCGAACGGAAGGGCCCUGAUCUUGUGGGGUGCUCGAGUGGCGAACGGGUGAGUGACACGUGUGUAACCUGCCCUUGACUUUGGGAUAUCUUCAGGAAACUGGGGCUAAUACCGGAUAGGAUCUCCUGCAGCAUGUUGGGGGUUGGAAAGUUACGGCGGUGGGGGAUGGACUGGCGGCUUAUCAGCUUGUUGGUGUGGUAGGGGCUUACCAAGUGUACGACGGAUAGCCGGCCUGGGAGGGGGACCGGCGUCAAUGGGACUGCGAUAGGGCCCAGACGCGUACGGGAGGCAGUGGUGGGGAAUCUUACGCAGUAGCCCGAAGUCAGAUACAACAACGCUGCGUGCGGAAUGCCCGCUUACUAGUUGUAAACCGCUGUGUCCUGUGACGAAGCGUGAGUGACGGUAACGAGUCAAGAAGCAACGGCUAACUACGUG
rnacentral:rRNA from 1 species